rnacentral:rRNA from 1 species
UACGUAGGCAGCGAGCGUUGUUCGGAGUUACUGGGCGUAAAGAGUGCGUAGGCGGUUUUCUAAGUUUGGUGUGGAAUCUCCCGGCUUAACUGGGAGGGUGCGCCGAAAACUGGAAGGCUUGAGUAUGGGAGAGGUAAGCGGAAUUCCUGGUGUAGCGGUGAAAUGCGUAGAUAUCAGGAGGAACACCGGUGGCGAAGGCGGCAUCCUGGACCGACACUGACACUGAGGAGCGAAAGCCAGGGGAGCAAACGGG